rnacentral:rRNA from 1 species
AGGUCUAGCCUGCCCAGUGACAAAGUUAAACGGCCGCGGUACCCUGACCGUGCGAAGGUAGCAUAAUCACUUGUUCUUUAAAUGGGGACUAGUAUCAACGGCAUCACGAGGGCUUACCUGUCUCCUUUUUCUAAUCAGUGAAACUGCUCUCCCUGUGAAGAAGCAGGGAUAUUAAUAUAAGACGAGAAGACCCCAUGGAGCUUUAAACCCAACAAACAACCCGACCCAUAUAGCUCACCCUAGUCAUUAAAGUCAUGUCUGUUGGUUUUAGGUUGGGGUGACCGCGGAGUAUAACCGAACCUCCACGAUGUACAGGACUAUUCCUUUAUCCAAGAGCCACAUCUCUAAGAAUUAAAACAUUAACAUAAGAUGAUCCAAGUAUUUGAUCAACGGACCAAGUUACCCUGGGGAUAACAGCGCAAUCCAUUUCGAGAGCUCCUAUCGACAAAUGGGUUUACGACCUCGAUGUUGGAUCAGGGUAUCCCAGUGGUGCAGCAGCUACUAACGGUUUGUUUGUUCAACAAUUAAAACCCUACGUGAUCUGAGU